CGUGUGGAAGGAAGCAGGCAGUGAAGAUCCAGUUCUGCCAAGCACCACUGCUCAUGCUGGGCUACUGCUCUUUCCAGUGGCCAGCAGGAGACACAGGUUUUAAAACGGUUGCUAUGUUAUCAAUCAGUAGCCAGAAGUGAAAGUAUAAAAGGCAGUUCCAUUUACAAUGAGAACUUCAAAUCACCAUUAGACAUUUUGGAGCCAACUUAGCAAGAAUCAUUAAGAAAACUCCAAAACCAUGACACACUGAAGGAACUCUGACUAGACUGACAGCAAACACGGUGCAUGACUGGGAAGACGGAACAGCUUCAGAAGGCAUGGAGCAAGGGAGUGAGGAGCAGAACGGAGACAGAUGGGGACAGCAGAGGACAUUUGACAGAUCCCAGGGAGUGGCUGUGGAAAGAUCUGCUCACACACAGGUCUGGAGAGCGUCCUGAUGAAUCACGUCAAGGCACGUGGGAGCAAAUGCCAUCAUCUGAAAUUACUUUAACAUGACAUAUUCCCCAACUCCCCCUUCUUACUAUUAUUUCCUUAUAAAUGCCUUGUUGUUUAACAGUUAA